AGGGACUCUUGUAUGUAAUUUAC
rnacentral:piRNA from 1 species